UGCCAAAGACAAAUGCGCGUUCUUUUGGGC
rnacentral:piRNA from 1 species